rnacentral:sRNA from 1 species
UGCCACUGCACUCCAGCCUGGCGACAGAGUGAGACUCCAUCUCAAAAAAAAAAAAAAAGCCGGGCGUGGUGGCACAUGUCCUGUUAUCCCAGCUACUUGGGAGGCUGAGGCAGGAGAAUCACUUGAAUCCGGGAGGGCGGAGGUUGCAGUGAGCCGAGAUCAAGCCACUGCACUCCAGCCUGGGUGACAGACUGAGAUCCUGUGUGAAAAAAACAAAGUUUUACAUUUAAUUUGAUACUCAUGAUCAUUCGAUGGGGUGAGUACUAUUAUUUAUUCCCAUUUCACAGAUAAGGAAACUGAGGCUUAGGCAGGUUGGGUGGCAUGCCCAGGGCCCCGUACAGUGGGAGCUGGAGUUCGUUGUGUGGUUCUAGAGCUUGUGCUCGGCCUAGUGACAGGAGCUCUGGAGUCUGGGAGCACAAAGAGGGGCACAGGGCCACCAAGUGGGUCUUGGAUCUGCCCUCCAGGUGUGGGCCCAUCGCUGGAUGGAUCUGUCGGAACACGGCUUUGGGCUGGCCCUGCUCAACGACUGCAAGUAUGGCGCGUCAGUGCGAGGCAGCAUCCUCAGCCUCUCGCUCUUGCGGGCGCCUAAAGCCCCGGACGCUACUGCUGACACGGGGCGCCACGAGUUCACCUACGCGCUGAUGCCGCACAAGGGCUCUUUCCAGGAUGCUGGCGUUAUCCAAGCUGCCUACAGCCUAAACUUCCCCCUGCUGGCUCUGCCAGCCCCCAGCCCAGCGCCCGCCACCUCCUGGAGUGCGUUUUCCGUGUCUUCACCCGCGGUCGUAUUGGAGACCGUCAAGCAGGCAAGGGCAGCCCCCAGCGCCGCUCGCUGGUCCUGAGGCUGUAUGAGGCCCACGGCAGCCACGUGGAUUGCUGGCUGCACUUGUCGCUGCCGGUUCAGGAGGCCAUCCUGUGAGUGGCGGUGAGGGAUUGGGGCGGGGGUCGAGUCUCGCCCUCGCAGAGCCUUCAUGGCCCCUCCUGUUCUCCAGCUGCGAUCUCUUGGAGCGACCAGACCCUGCUGGCCACUUGACCCUUCGGGACAACCGCCUGAAGCUCACCUUUUCUCCCUUCCAAGUGCUGUCCCUGUUGCUCGUGCUUCAGCCUCCACCACACUGAGUCCUUGGGGCUGGGGUUUUGUUUGUUUUGUAGAAGGCUCUGGGGACUCCUAAUUUCUGCUUCCCCAGCCUAAAGCAGGGAUCAGUCUCUUCUUGUGGAAUAAAUCCUUGGAUCAGG